rnacentral:rRNA from 1 species
CCUACUGGUGACAUCAUUGAGGCAUCUUGGUCAAUGGCCGAGAGGCUGAACCAGCCGAGUCGCGUGAGGUCCUCCUUUCCUCUUUCUUUUCCCCCUCUUUUUUCCUUUCUCCCAGUCACCCACGUGUGGGUGUUGGAGAGUACCUGAAGAAAAAGCAUCGGCUAACUCCGUGCCAGCAGCCGCGGUAAUACGUAGGAUGCGAGCGUUAUCCGGAUUUAUUGGGUUUAAAGGGUGCGUAGGCGGGUUAUCAAGUCAGCGGUAAAAUCGUGGAGCUCAACUCCAUCCAGCCGUUGAAACUGAUGAUCUUGAGUGGGCGAGAAGUAUGCGGAAUGCGUGGUGUAGCGGUGAAAUGCAUAGAUAUCACGCAGAACUCCGAUUGCGAAGGCAGCAUACCGGCGCCCGACUGACGCUGAAGCACGAAAGCGUGGGUAUCGAACAGGAUUAGAGAAAAUGGUAGUC